rnacentral:tRNA from 3 species
GCCGUUGUAGUAUAACGGUUAGUACGUCUCGUUGUGGCCGAGAUGAUCCUGGUUCGAUUCCAGGCAACGGCA